rnacentral:lncRNA from 1 species
GUUUCAGUUACAAUUUCAGCCUCUAAACUUUCGACUAUUGUUUUGCCAUUUGGCAUAAUAAAAUUUUCCAAGUCAACUAAACAGAUUAAACAAAUCCUGCCCCUGCCCCUGCCCCUCCAACCCCUCAAGCAUGAGCAAACAUUCCAAAUCCACACAAAAUUCGCACAUUGGAGAGGCAAUAAAACAUUUAAGACUUGAGGUACAUUGUGAGAUCUUACAGGGUAAACAUUGAAGAAUCUCCACGGGAAGUUGUGGAUGAAGCCUCAGGCGCUGGAGAGCGAAAAAGAGGAGUUUUCUGUACGAGAAACAAUGCCAGGGGAGAACUUCAGAGAAGAGUUGUCUGGCAGAAGAAUCUGAACUGAAAAGAAAGGGAGUUUCAGCCAGUAGGUAGGGAGCUGCUAAGGAGAAUUCUUCAGUCAACAAAAUGCCUUGAAAUAAUCAAGAAAUCUCAUCGAAGAACCUUUAGCAAACCUUCGCACAAUGAACUGUAGAUCUAGAGCUCAGAAAGGACUCUCUCCAGCAAGCUGUUUUGAGCUGCAAGAUCUAGCUGAAACAAAACCUCAUAGCAAAAUGGAAAGCUAGCACAAAAGCCCUUGUAGUUGGCCAACACGAAGCCCGUUCCAAGUCAAGUUUUUCUGCAAAAUAAACAACUAAAAGCAAAAUCAAGCCACAGCCACAUACGACUAAGAGAGAGUUUCCGUUGCUGCUCAAUAAAAAUCAGAGCAACCAAAGGAAAGUAUCCUUUAUCCUUUAUCCAUGUCUGUGAAUGGAAAGUUGUUCUUUCCACAACAUUAAUAAAUAUUUACAGGCACGUCGCGUCCAAGCGAUGGACCAAGUCUGCCGUCUCUUCAUUGCUGGGCAAUGAAAUCAAAUCAAAUAUGCGCGCCUGACGCUUCAUAUAACCCAAGACGGAGUCCCACCCCUCCUUGCUGAUGUGCGCACAAGAAUUUAAAUCAUUCCGAGGACUUACAUGCUACUUACAAGCGCCAAAAGUGCCUAUACGAGCGCCUGUAUGUGUGCCACAAAAAAAAAGGAGGUCUCUGGCGAGCAGUUUGGUUGGACAACGCAGAAGUUCUGCUGAAUGGAUGGAUAGAUGGAUGGUCCAGCCAACCCUCAAUCCAAGCCGCUUUUGCCACGUUUUGGGGCAAGGUUAUUAUUCGUUGGUGCUGCUGCUCCUUUGCUCCUUAUGCACACGGAAUUUUUAUGAGUUAAUUUAAUUUAUAGUUUUAUUAUUAUGUUCAAGGCAUAGUAAUGGCGUGGAUAGAGCAGACACAGGAUGAAGGACCUUUCAAAACACUUUUUUCAAGUGUGAAUCUGCUCUGUCUCUCUUGGCCCUUUCUUUUAGGCCAAGCCAACAACUUGUAAACAACCGGCAAUGGCGCAUAAAUUUAAUUUAAACGCAAAGCCAGAGCACGGACACAGACAGUGCCCGAAGAAAGUAUUUCUACGAUUUUUGCACUGUUGAUUUAUACGCUAAUAAAAGCAAUUUCACUGAAUGCCA